UUUCUUUUCACGUGACCUUUCACUUUUUACUUUCGCGUGUUUGGUUUCCUCAAAAGUCUUUCACCUUUUAGUUCUGCUUGGCAGAGUCAAUGAGAAUGAGUCAUCGCCAUAUAUGGGUGUACCGAACCCGAUUCCGAACCGAGACCAAAUAUAAUUUCGAUUUCUGCCGAUAGGUUUUUGUUUGGCCACGUUGAUCGAACCUCGAUUUGGUUUGGAAAUGCCGGUUUGGUUAGUUACGUUUUACCAGGACCUGAUUCUUACUAAUUUUUAAACCAUUAAUUGAUGUACAGUGUAUAUAUAAAAAAAAAAAUACAUUUGCACGUUUUUGUACUGUAGUAUAACUUUGAUACAAAAAAAUACAACUUUCAAAUGGAAAACUAAACUUGC
rnacentral:lncRNA from 1 species